UACGGAGGGGGCUAGCGUUGUUCGGAAUUACUGGGCGUAAAGCGCACGUAGGCGGCUUUGUAAGUUAGAGGUGAAAGCCCGGGGCUCAACUCCGGAAUUGCCUUUAAGACUGCAUCGCUAGAAUUGUGGAGAGGUAAGUGGAAUUCCGAGUGUAGAGGUGAAAUUCGUAGAUAUCGGGAGGAACAUCUGUGGCGAAGGCGGCCAUCUGGACCAGCACUGACACUGAGGCACGAAAGCGUGGGGAGCAAACAGG
rnacentral:rRNA from 1 species